UGCAGUGAGGAAGUGUAAUGUCACAUGCGACAUUUACAGGAAACUGGCUAGAAGAUUGCAGGGGAACUUGAGAACUUGUCGUUUUCAGCGGACUAACACAACACAGCAAAGGAGGAAGGAACAAACAACAAAUUAAUCAGACAGGAAGCGAAUAACCACAGAAAGACGUCUGCCUCUGACUCAGUAUGUCACAUUUAACAAGAGGCCAGAGCUCGUCCAAAAUGGCUGUUUAAAAACGACCCCGCACUUGCCUUAGAAGAUGAUGCCUUUUUCAGCGACUGUUUUCUCUCUGGGCUCACAUCUUGCUUGUCUGUCUACCUGUGUCCCUGAUCAUGCCUCCCUACGGUAUUCUUUAACGUUGCUCUUACAGUGAAACUGUGAAUUUGUGUACUACUAAUCAUGACAUUGUAGAUGUUUCAACAUGUCUUCUCCGAAAAAUGCUUUUGCCACUCCCCCCUUCAAAAUUAACUGUUUAUCUAAAUGAACUCGAAAGGAAGUAUUUCUGAACUAGCCAAGGACACUCUAAAUGCAGCAAGUCACAAACCCUUACCAUUGAGGAGACAGGCUAUAGGCAGAAUUCACUUAAGUUAUCGUCUUAAAUGAUGAUCAAGAAAAGAGCAAGUGCGUUUUCAGAAGGGAGGGGUUCUGCCGGUGUUCCAACUGGGAUUGAGAAGAACGGAGAUCCCUAACUAGGUGAGGCUGCCACUUUGCUUAAAGCUUGUUUCUCUUCUCCACCUUCUGCUUCCUCUUGACUUGAGCCAUCUUUUGUUUUUCCUCUUUAUGUUGAUUGCCUCAUUGCCUACAGCCCUCUGAGCCUGAGCCUGCUGGAGAAGAGUUCACAGUAACAGAAACAGACUUCAUGCAAAGAUAUUAAAAGUUUCUAAAAUGACCAUAUGACAUGCUGGGGCUGGGGGAAGUGGAGCCCAGAGAGGUUGCGCUGUGACUUGUAUCAUAAAAUAGAAACUACAGGCAAGUGCAGCUGUGAAAAGGUUGUGCUGAAGAAACAGGAUGGCUGUGGUUUACUGUGAGCAUCAAUUUUCCUGUUGAGCAUUUUUACAGGAAGUUAAAGAACAAAGCCAACUUCAUCGUAAUUAGUUCUAAUGGUUUUCAGACCUUAAGCACAUCCAGCUAAGUUUGCAUCAUGCAGGAGUCUCUAAAGAAUAGAAUCUAUAAUCAUGAUGAUAGGAACCUCCAAACUAUGGGCUUUUAAAAAUUCAGGAUUUUAGUAGCCAUUUGAGUUUGCUAAAUGGUUUUAUUUUUACAGUGUAACUUGGAGUGGAUUCAUUGCCUUUAUAAUGAAUGCUUCUAACAGUAAUUUUUCAUGGUUGUAAAUAACUCAAUAUGAAUUUAAGAGCCUUUUCUUAUUAAAACACUGUUGAGGCAUAUAUAACUUAAUAUUUAUUGGUCAAACAAGUGCGCAUGUGUGUACAGAGAGACAGAGGAGGGAGGGGUGUGUGUGUGUUUAUAAGCUGGAAGGACAUACAUGAAAGUGUUUAGAAUAGCUGUAAAUUAUCUGUAUUAUGAUUAAUCCCAGUGCUUUUUCACCUAAAAUUUAAUUAUUAUUAUUUUUUAAAUUAAUUCAUUUAUUUUGAGAAAGAGAA